rnacentral:rRNA from 1 species
AGAGUUUGAUCCUGGCUCAGAUUGAACGCUGGCGGCAUGCCUAACACAUGCAAGUCGCACGCGAAAGGGGGCAACCCCGAGUAGAGUGGCGGACGGGUGCGUAAUACGCAGGAAUCUACCCACGAGUGGGGGACAACCCGGGGAAACCCGGGCUAAUACCGCAUGAGACCUACGGGUGAAAGCGGGGGAUCGCAAGACCUCGCGCUGGUGGAUGAGCCUGCGUCCGAUUAGCUAGUUGGUAGGGUAAAAGCCUACCAAGGCAACGAUCGGUAGCUGGUCUGAGAGGAUGACCAGCCACACUGGGACUGAGACACGGCCCAGACUCCUACGGGAGGCAGCAGUGGGGAAUAUUGGACAAUGGGGGCAACCCUGAUCCAGCAAUGCCGCGUGUGUGAAGAAGGCCUUCGGGUUGUAAAGCACUUUCGAUGGGGACAAACGUGUCGGGCUUAAUACGUCCGGCCUUGAUGGUACCUAGAGAAGAAGCACCGGCUAACUCUGUGCCAGCAGCCGCGGUAAUACAGAGGGUGCAAGCGUUAAUCGGAAUUACUGGGCGUAAAGCGUGCGUAGGUGGUUGGAUAAGUCAGGUGUGAAAUCCCCGAGCUUAACUUGGGAAUUGCGCUUGAUACUGUCCGGCUAGAGUGUGGUAGAGGGUAGUGGAAUUCCGCAUGUAGCGGUGAAAUGCGUAGAUAUGCGGAGGAACAUCAGUGGCGAAGGCGGCUACCUGGACCAACACUGACACUGAGGCACGAAAGCGUGGGUAGCAAACAGGAUUAGAUACCCUGGUAGUCG